UGCCAGCAGCCGCGGUAAUACAGAGGGUGCAAGCGUUAAUCGGAGUUACUGGGCGUAAAGGGCGCGUAGGCGGAUGGCUAAGUUAUAUGUGAAAGCCCUGGGCUUAACCUGGGAAUUGCAUGUAAGACUGGUUGUCUAGAGUAGAGUAGAGGUAAGCGGAAUUUCCGGUGUAGCGGUGAAAUGCGUAGAUAUCGGAAGGAACACCAGUGGCGAAGGCGGCUUACUGGACCGAUACUGACGCUGAGACGCGAAAGCGUGGGGAGCAAACAGGAUUAGAUA
rnacentral:rRNA from 1 species